UACGUAGGGGGCAAGCGUUGUCCGGAUUUAUUGGGCGUAAAGGGCUCGUAGGCGGUUUGUCGCGUCGGGAGUGAAAUCCACUGGCUUAACUGGUGGCUUGCUUUCGAUACGGGCAGACUGGAGGUAUGCAGGGGAGAACGGAAUUCCUGGUGUAGCGGUGAAAUGCGCAGAUAUCAGGAGGAACACCGAUGGCGAAGGCAGGUCUCUGGGCCACUACUGACGCUGAGAAGCGAAAGCAUGGGGAGCGAACAGG
rnacentral:rRNA from 1 species